rnacentral:rRNA from 1 species
UGCCUACGGGGGGCAGCAGUGGGGAAUAUUGCACAAUGGAGGAAACUCUGAUGCAGCGAUGCCGCGUGAGGGAAGAAGGUUUUCGGAUUGUAAACCUCUGUCUUAAGGGACGAUAAUGACGGUACCUUAGGAGGAAGCUCCGGCUAACUACGUGCCAGCAGCCGCGGUAAUACGGAGGAUGCGAGCGCUAUCCGGAUUUAUUGGGUUUAAAGGGUGCGUAGGCGGAAUGCCAAGUCAGCGGUAAAAUCGUGGGGCCCAACCCCAUCCCGCCGUUGAAACUGGCGGUCUUGAGUGAGCGGGAAGUU